AUGACUCACACAUAGUCUUAGAGACUUUAUUAACUGAAAUAGCUUGUAUUGAAGAUAGAUAUUGAGGAUUUGCUGGUGAGGAUGCCCCAAUCUCUUGUGACAUAUGACAUCACUUGCACACUGCUGCCUAGAUGAGUAGAAAGCAAGAAACUGAGGAUUCUCUAACCGGUACAGUCCUUCACGCUUGCUUCCUCGACUGAGAAGCUGUUGAGUCUUUUUGUCCUUAACAAGC
rnacentral:lncRNA from 1 species